rnacentral:rRNA from 1 species
GACGAACGCUGGCGGCGUGCUUAACACAUGCAAGUCGAACGGAAAGGCCCUGCUUUUGUGGGGUGCUCGAGUGGCGAACGGGUGAGUAACACGUGAGUAACCUGCCCUUGACUUUGGGAUAACUUCAGGAAACUGGGGCUAAUACCGGAUAGGAGCUCCUGCUGCAUGGUGGGGGUUGGAAAGUUUCGGCGGUUGGGGAUGGACUCGCGGCUUAUCAGCUUGUUGGUGGGGUAGUGGCUUACCAAGGCUUUGACGGGUAGCCGGCCUGAGAGGGUGACCGGCCACAUUGGGACUGAGAUACGGCCCAGACUCCUACGGGAGGCAGCAGUGGGGAAUAUUGCACAAUGGGCGGAAGCCUGAUGCAGCAACGCCGCGUGCGGGAUGACGGCCUUCGGGUUGUAAACCGCUUUCGCCUGUGACGAAGCGUGAGUGACGGUAAUGGGUAAAGAAGCACCGGCUAACUACGUGCCAGCAGCCGCGGUGAUACGUAGGGUGCGAGCGUUGUCCGGAUUUAUUGGGCGUAAAGGGCUCGUAGGUGGUUGAUCGCGUCGGAAGUGUAAUCUUGGGGCUUAACCCUGAGCGUGCUUUCGAUACGGGUUGACUUGAGGAAGGUAGGGGAGAAUGGAAUUCCUGGUGGAGCGGUGGAAUGCGCAGAUAUCAGGAGGAACACCAGUGGCGAAGGCGGUUCUCUGGGCCUUUCCUGACGCUGAGGAGCGAAAGCGUGGGGAGCGAACAGGCUUAGAUACCCUGGUAGUCCACGCUGUAAACGGUGGGUACUAGGUGUGGGGUCCAUUCCACGGGUUCCGUGCCGUAGCUAACGCUUUAAGUACCCCGCCUGGGGAGUACGGCCGCAAGGCUAAAACUCAAAGGAAUUGACGGGGCCCCGCACAAGCGGCGGAGCAUGCGGAUUAAUUCGAUGCAACGCGUAGAACCUUACCUGGGUUUGACAUGGAUCGGGAGUGCUCAGAGAUGGGUGUGCCUCUUUUGGGGUCGGUUCACAGGUGGUGCAUGGCUGUCGUCAGCUCGUGUCGUGAGAUGUUGGGUUAAGUCCCGCAACGAGCGCAACCCUUGUUCACUGUUGCCAGCACGUUAUGGUGGGGACUCAGUGGAGACCGCCGGGGUCAACUCGGAGGAAGGUGGGGAUGACGUCAAGUCAUCAUGCCCCUUAUGUCCAGGGCUUCACGCAUGCUACAAUGGCUGGUACAGAGAGUGGCGAGCCUGUGAGGGUGAGCGAAUCUCGGAAAGCCGGUCUCAGUUCGGAUUGGGGUCUGCAACUCGACCUCAUGAAGGCGGAGUCGCUAGUAAUCGCAGAUCAGCAACGCUGCGGUGAAUACGUUCCCGGG